rnacentral:sRNA from 1 species
UUUUAGCCCCGAUUGCAACGGCAUCCUUUUGCGAAACGAAGUGUAGCAAAAGAUAUAGUGAAAAGCGGGUACGAUU